rnacentral:sRNA from 1 species
GCUGAGGGCACCCAAAAAACUUGUCCGACUUUUGGCCAGUUAAGUAGUCGACUGGGUUUGUUUUUGUAUUCUGCCAGCGUAAUCGACUUCGAUUUUGUGUGCCCCAUUUGCCGGCUAAAGUUUUGCGGUGACUCCGUUGGCAGAACACUAGAAAAGCGGGAGACUUAAUUGCUUAUGUAAUUGUUGGCAUUAAGUGAUUUCUUGUUUAUUUCACAGCUGGUUGCAUUUGAUUUUAAUUGAAAUUAGAUGGUGGCUAGCAAGGAAAAAGGAAAAUUUACAUUUCAUCAACCAAGUAUUGGAAGCAUUCACCUGCGAAACGCUAAUUAAACAGAAAAUAAGCUUAAGAUGGCCUAGGUAAAUACUAAGAAAAAAGCACUGCAUGGAAAUGGAAAAGAAAAGUUUCGAACAUCAAAGAAAAACUUACGCAAAAUUAAAUAGGCAGAUUAAAAAACAGAAGCAAAUAUAAAAAGAAGCGGCGAAGAAUUAAAAUGCAUUUGUCAAUGGAAAAAAGUUGGUAAUUAAACAAACACAAAACGGAAUUUUCAAUAACUUCGGAAAAGCAGAAAUAAAAUACGAUUUCUUCUUGUGAAAAAAGGA